AUUCUCUUGCUUUCUGUGCAGGUUGUUCUGGAGAAAGAGCAGGAGCAGAUUGAUUUGUCAGAGAUGCCAUGCCAGACUGAGGGAGAGCUGUUUCCAGCCCGAGAGCAGGAAGAGCAGCUUGGGCAGCAGGUGGAAGAGCCACUGGAGAAUGGCCAGAACAUCAAGGCAGAGCCACAAGCAGAGUUGCCUGAAGCUCAGAGUGCCAUUGUGGCAGUGAAGAGGAGGCCAGGAAGACAUGAGGAGCACCGAAGAGGAGAUGAGGCUCCAUGAGCAGAGAGGAGAUCAGCAGAAUCAGGUGAGUGAAAGAGUAGAAGUCACUCCACUCAUCAAGCUGUCUCUCUCGUGUUUUUUAGAGGACAUCAAGGAAAAUCUCCAGGCAGAGCUGCAGGAAACAGAGGCUAGGAUCGACGCAAAGGAGAAGAGGCUGGAGGAAGAACUGAAAAUUGUCAUAGAGAAAAUUAAUCACCUGAUUCAGAAGAAGGAUUCUCUACUAAAACAAGUUGGAGUGUUGACAUCUCACCUGGCAGCCUGGGAAGGCUUCCAGCAAAUGACUGGCGAUGAAGAGCCCCAAGGUUGGCGUGAGGCACAGCAACUGUCCCAAGCAGAGAUGCUGAAGGUUGAGCAUGUCUCCAAGAUGGUGGAGGAAAAGUGGACUCAGUGGGAAGAGGUACAACAUUUGAACAAGGAGCUGCAAAUGUG